AUCAAUAAUGAUUCUCUUCGAAUGUCAUUUUGCUAUUGCAAUUUUCAUCUCUUGAGAAUAAUGUGCUAUCUGUACUGCAUCUUUGAUAAGCACCGGUGGUAUGGGCAUGAUGGGGUUUCUGAAUUGAACUUGCAUUCCAUUUCGUUCAACAUUCAGAAUAUCUGGCUUUACCAUGUCCAUUGAAUGAUUCAAGAGCUUCUUUCGUUGCUUUGGGUAUUGAUAGAUACUGAUUGUCAUUGGUCAAGAAAAAUAUAGUGCUAGGUGAAAUUUGGAAGCCUCUGGUCAAGAAGUGACUUAUUGAUACCUUUGCAAAAUAGUUUAUUUCAUAGUUACUAAUAACUACUAAAUCAAUGUCAAAUUCAAUUUUUCUUGCAACCAUAGCAUAUUUCCAGUUUUACUUCAUGGUUCGACAACUAAUCUGAAGAAUGCAUGAAGAAAUUAUCUAGAUUUUCUUUACUUAUCUUUCAAGAUAUCUAGAAACUGGUGUUGGAAUCUCCCUUUGAAGUCUUUUUGCAUGUUUUUAAAGCCCAAGGAUAUGCGCCAAGAUCUUGAGGACCUCGUGGACUCCUAGCGGGGAAGGCCCCAACGUCUAUGAUAUGGACUUACCAGUUGCUUGUAAACAACCACUAAAUAUUGCUAUACUUACCAGUUUGUGUAAGUAUUCAAACUUAACUAUGUUCACUGUUUCUUUUCAACCAUUACAGUGUCUACUCAAUUUCAUGUACUUGUAAUCUUGUUAAAUGCAGUCCAAGUUUGAAGUGGAUAAAACCUCAAUCCAUGUGAAAAAAGCAUGUGUGGCUAUGCUG